rnacentral:rRNA from 1 species
GACGAACGCUGGCGGCGUGCUUAACACAUGCAAGUCGAACGGAAAGGCCCUGCUUUUGUGGGGUGCUCGAGUGGCGAACGGGUGAGUAACACGUGAGUAACCUGCCCUUGACUUUGGGAUAACUUCAGGAAACUGGGGCUAAUACCGGAUAGGAGCUCCUGCUGCAUGGUGGGGGUUGGAAAGUUUCGGCGGUUGGGGAUGGACUGGCGGCUUAUCAGCUUGUUGGUGGGGUAGUGGCUUACCAAGGCUUUGACGGGUAGCCGGCCUGAGAGGGUGACCGGCCACAUUGGGACUGAGAUACGGCCCAGACUCCUACGGGAGGCAGCAGUGGGGAAUAUUGCACAAUGGGCGGAAGCCUGAUGCAGCAACGCCGCGUGCGGGAUGACGGCCUUCGGGUUGUAAACCGCUUUCGACUGUGACGAAGCGUGAGUGACGGUAAUGGGUAAAGAAGCAACGGCUAACUACGUG